rnacentral:rRNA from 1 species
GACAGAGGGUGCAAACGUUGCUCGGAAUUACUGGGCGUAAAGCGCGUGUAGGCGGGUCAGCAAGUCAGGCGUGAAAUCCCUAGGCUCAACCUAGGAACUGCGCUUGAAACUGCUGGUCUUGAGUGACGGAGAGGAAAGCGGAAUUCCUGGUGUAGAGGUGAAAUUCGUAGAUAUCAGGAGGAACACCGGUGGCGAAGGCGGCUUUCUGGACGUCUACUGACGCUGAGACGCGAAAGCGUGGGGAGCAAACAGG